rnacentral:rRNA from 1 species
GUGGGGAAUAUUGGACAAUGGGCGAAAGCCUGAUCCAGCCAUGCCGCGUGUGUGAAGAAGGUCUUCGGAUUGUAAAGCACUUUAAGUUGGGAGGAAGGGCAGUAAGUUAAUACCUUGCUGUUUUGACGUUACCAACAGAAUAAGCACCGGCUAACUUCGUGCCAGCAGCCGCGGUAAUACGACGGGUGCAAGCGUUAAUCGGAAUUACUGGGCGUAAAGCGCGCGUAGGUGGUUCAGCAAGUUGAAGGUGAAAUCCCCGGGCUCAACCUGGGAACUGCCUCCAAAACUACUGAGCUAGAGUACGGUAGAGGGUAGUGGAAUUUCCUGUGUAGCGGUGAAAUGCGUAGAUAUAGGAAGGAACACCAGUGGCGAAGGCGACUACCUGGACUGAUACUGACACUGAGGUGCGAAAGCGUGGGGAGCAAACAGGAUUAGAAACCCGAGUAGUCC